rnacentral:rRNA from 1 species
AAUGGGGGAAACCCUGACGCAGCAACGCCGCGUGGAGGAAGAAGGUCUUCGGAUUGUAAACUCCUGUCUUCUGGGACGAUAAUGACGGUACCAGAGGAGGAAGCCACGGCUAACUACGUGCCAGCAGCCGCGGUAAUACGUAGGUGGCGAGCGUUGUCCGGAAUUACUGGGCGUAAAGGGCGCGUAGGCGGCUCUUUAAGUUAGAUGUGAAAACCCGAGGCUUAACUUCGGGACUGCAUUUAAAACUGAAGGGCUCGAGUGCAGGAGAGGUAAGUGGAAUUCCUAGUGUAGCGGUGAAAUGCGUAGAUAUUAGGAGGAACACCAGUGGCGAAGGCGACUUACUGGACUGUAACUGACGCUGAGGCGCGAAAGCGUGGGGAGCAAA